rnacentral:lncRNA from 1 species
GACUGAACUCAGCAGAGAGUGAUUGAUUGACUAAGAUCCUUAUUAGUUCCCAGCAGGUGGGUUCUCACGGAGAAAACCCAUGCUGGUCAUCAGCACUCAGAGGCCAAAUUGCAAGUUCUCUGCUGGGUGACCAGAGAACAUGAGCCAGGGCAACUGGAUGUUCUUUCAGAGAAUUACUUUCCAGCUCCAGUUGCUUGAUGAAUUACCUUUCUCCACUGGAGGGAUAUUUUAGUCUGAAAAAUCAGGACAGGUCAUCUGAAGUCAGAUCACGCUCUCUUCAGGCAGUGAUAGAGGAAAUCUUUCAAAGUCUUAGUCUCCUGUGUUCCUUUCUCAAUAUUCCUUAUCCAUUGCCUUAUCUUCCAAAAGCCAUUGCCAUUAUGUGAUCUCAUGUUACAACUUCCCAGAUUACCACUUGUUCUACAUUAGCUACAUCUGUGACAGAGACUUCCCAGAAUACGGGCAAGGAGAGCCAUCUUCCAAUCACAAUGACUUAUGGCUUACGGCUCCAAGCCAUCAUGUUUUCAUUCUUGUAGCUUCAGUUUCCCAGAAUGGCAUUGCUUAACCUUGUUCUCCAAAGGAGGCAGCUAGAAGGUAAUGGAAAGAGACCGGACACCAAAACUGGAAGAACUGGAGGAGCUGAUCAUCCCUAUCUCCGAGUCACUUCCGCAACCUAUACAAUCCACCAUUGUGCUGAAGGGAGCCUGGGCUCCCCCUCCUAUUUCACACCCUCUCUGCCCUGCUGGACAAUAAGCGAAACCAAAGUAGCAACCAUGCUCUGAUCAUCAGUGAUCUCCACACCCAGCACAGCCCUAGCCCAUAUCAGAGGCUUCAUUAUUGAGUGAAUGAAUGAAGCAAUGAAGGAAGAGGAGGAAAGAAAUACUCAGUGAAUUCUACGUCAACUGAAGUCAACUCCUGCAGAACCCAACCAAGGACACCAAGAGAAAAGAGAUCAGAAGCAGGGUACAGGAAUUCCCAUCGUGGCUCAGUGGUUAAUGAACCCAACUAGUAUCCAUGAGGAUGUGGGUUCGAUCCCUGGCCUCAAUCAGUUGGUUAAGGAUCCGGCGUUGCUGUGAGCUGUAGUGUAGAUCACAGGCUCAGAUCAGAUCCCUCGUUGAUGUGGCUGUGGUGUAGGCCUGCAGCUACAGCUCCAAUUUGACCCCUAGCCUGGGAUACAUGCCUCCAGUGUGGCCCUAAAAAGACAGAGAAAAAAAAAAAGGCAAAUAAUGUGUCAGUACCGAGCCUCAUGAAAGUGUUUCAGAGAAAUCCCCACCCCACACCCAGGGUUUCUGGAACCACACUUUGAGAACUGCUGAAUUAAGAUAUAGAUCAUGUGGGAGUUCCUGCUGUGGCACAGUGGGUUAAGAA